AUUGAACGCUGGCGGCAUGCCUUACACAUGCAAGUCGAACGGCAGCACGGGAGCAAUCCUGGUGGCGAGUGGCGAACGGGUGAGUAAUAUAUCGGAACGUGCCCAAUCGUGGGGGAUAACGUAGCGAAAGCUACGCUAAUACCGCAUACGAUCUAUGGAUGAAAGCGGGGGAUCGCAAGACCUCGCGCGAUUGGAGCGGCCGAUAUCAGAUUAGGUAGUUGGUGGGGUAAAAGCCUACCAAGCCUUCGAUCUGUAGCUGGUCUGAGAGGACGACCAGCCACACUGGAACUGAGACACGGUCCAGACUCCUACGGGAGGCAGCAGUGGGGAAUUUUGGACAAUGGGCGCAAGCCUGAUCCAGCAAUGCCCGCGUGCAGGGAUGAAGGCCUUCGGGUUGUAAACUGCUUUUGUACGGAACGAAACGGUUCUUUCUAAUAAAGAGGGCUAAAUGACGGUACCGUAAGAAUAAGCACCGGCUAACUACGUGCCAGCAGCCC
rnacentral:rRNA from 1 species